CCAGGAGAGAGAGGGACAACUCUGAAGCUGAAAGAGCUCAGCAUAUUAAGCAACUUCAUGAACUUCAGGAACAUAUUCAAGAGAAAGAACAUCAGUUUAUGGAAUUGCAGGAACAGAACAGAAUUGCAAAGGAAACCAUUCUUUACAAAGA